rnacentral:tRNA from 1 species
GGGGGAUUAGCUCAGCCGGGAGAGCGCCUGAUUUGCAUUCAGGAGGUCGCAGGUUCGAUCCCUGUAUCCUCCACCA